CGACUCUCGGCAACGGAUAUCUCGGCUCUCGCAUCGAUGAAGAACGUAGCGAAAUGCGAUACUUGGUGUGAAUUGCAGAAUCCCGUGAACCAUCGAGUCUUUGAACGCAAGUUGCGCCCGAAACCAUCCGGUUGGGGGCACGUCUGCCUGGGCGUCACGCAUC
rnacentral:rRNA from 1 species